ACUCAAAGGAAUAGACGGGGGCCCGCACAAGCGGAGGAACAUGUGGUUUAAUUCGAUGAUACGCGAGGAACCUUACCCGGGAUUGAAAUGGAGGGGAAAGGCGGUGAAAGCCGCCUGUCAGCAAUGACCCCUUUGUAGGUGCUGCAUGGUUGUCGUCAGCUCGUGCCGUGAGGUGUCGGCUUAAGUGCCAUAACGAGCGCAACCCUGAUUGUCAGUUGCUAGCAGGUCGUGCUGAGGACUCUGACAAGACUGCCGGCGUAAGCUGUGAGGAAGGUUGGGAUGACGUCAAAUCAGCACGGCCCUUACAUCCGGGGCGACACACGUGUUACAAUGGUGGGGACAGAGGGCAGCUACCGGGCGACCGGAUGCGAAUCUCCAAACCCCAUCUCAGUUCGGAUCGGAGUCUGCAACCCGACUCCGUGAAGCCGGAUUCGCUAGUAAUCGCGCAUCAGCCAUGGCGCGGUGAAUACGUUCCCGGGCCUUGUACACACCGCCCGU
rnacentral:rRNA from 1 species